UACGGGGGGGGGCAAGCGUUGUUCGGAAUUACUGGGCGUAAAGGGCUCGUAGGCGGCCAACUAAGUCGGAUGUGAAAUCCCCAGGCUUAACCUGGGAACUGCAUCCGAUACUGGAUGGCUUGAAUCCGGGAGAGGGAUGCGGAAUUCCAGGUGUAGCGGUGAAAUGCGUAGAUAUCUGGAGGAACACCGGUGGCGAAGGCGGCAUCCUGGACCGGCAUUGACGCUGAGGAGCGAAAGCGUGGGGAGCGAACAGG
rnacentral:rRNA from 1 species